CCACCACCAUCACCGUAUGGGAGCGACACCGGAUAUUGGUACUAGCUGAAGCGGAGAGAGUGUGACAGCAGGCCUAACCGGAGAACAUGGAUUUAUCCUCUAUUUCUUUUGAUGUUUCUGCUGACGUGGAGGUGGAGGUUAAAACACAAAAUGAAGCCAUAAUGAAUAAAUUCGUUCGAUUUACAA